UCAGGAGGCUCAGUGACAUUUUCUUCACCCGGAGGAUCGUGAUCAGAGUCCUCAUCACUGUUGAUAUCUUCUACAGCUGGAGGAGCUACUCGAGCCUUUGCUCGUCCAUUAAAUUUGGAAGAGGUGUUUCCAUGUUUACCACUUUUCUCUGAUGAACCGACCCCAUUAGAAUCUCUAACAGAUCCUUUUCCUUUUCCUCCUCGAUUCACAACUGUCCUUGCAGCAGUUGGAGUUUUAAAGCUCAACGAUGCAGCAGCAGCUCUUUUCCUGGUUGAGACUGCAUACUCUGGUGAUGAUUCUACACAAAUGUCCAAGAGAUUUGUUUAUUAGCACACGUUUUAAAACCCCGAUUGUUUAAAAAAAAAAGAUGUUAGUACCUCUGUCUUCAGAGUCUUUAGCGGACUUUUUGCCAUGUGCUGAAACAUAUCCAAUUCUGUGACAGUUCAACCUCCUGAAUAAAUCAGAAGCGCAAAGAGUUCAGUGAAGCAUCGACAAUUUUCUAAAAAGCAAGAGAAGAAAGCAACAAACCAAUAAUUCUUCUGCAUUACAAGAAGACGUGUCUCGAGUCUAGACAAAACUGUUGUACGCUCAAAACCUUGCUUAUCAUGAGCCGGCUCAACGAAAUCAGCUUCCAAAACACCUUUUAGCACCAAGAAUAAACUAACGCAUUAGACUUCAAAUUAAAAGAGCCAAUCAUGUAUUAUAGACCUUCCUGCAAAAUAACGAUUACCUAUGAUCCCACGACCUUGACUUCCUGCUGCAUUCCAUAUCCUCCAAAAUGGCUGACAAAAACAAAGUGGGACAGUUAAAAAAAACUGACAGAAACAAAGGUAAUAUAGGCCGAAAAGAACGAGAGAAACCUUAAUAAGGCGAUUCUUGUGGUAGACAUUGAAGCCUUGAACAUCAACGUGAUGUUUUGCAUCCUUAACAAAUCCAAUCGUCACAACAGCAGACAUCUGUUAUAAAUAUUGCCACACAACCAUAUUUAGAAACUGCGCAAGUUCUUCAAAUAAAAUUUGCAGGAAGAGGUCUUUUGAGUAUAACUAAGUUGUGAAAAACAUUACAUUUGAGAAAUUAGAUUGUCCACCGGGACCUUCUUUUGGACGAUAAGUGAUUUGGUUUGUGUGCAUCAUGUCAUUCACAAUGUUGUGAUGCUCAACAUCUCUUCCUCGGAGAAUGAUACGGAACUCAGGUGGAACUCUCAGGUAUAGAAUAGAUACAUAACUCUGGAGACAACAAUUCACAAGGUAACAAAUGAAUUUCGUAAAACAAAAAAAAAACAAUUUCAACUGCCACUGUUAAGGAAAGACGGAUAGAAGAUUCAUACUCUGAGUGAAUGCCUGUAUGUGAGGAAGUGUCUAGAGUUAGGGUACUGAGCAGCCAUACUGAUACUUUUCUCAUCCCUAUUGACCCCUCUAAGUUGGAUAUCCUGCAACAAAACGUGUGUCAUUACUUGCGCUAAUUAACUUUUAUAGUUUUAUGUGAUCUAUCAAUCGGCAUUCAGAAUUAACAAUUAAGGGGGUGAUUGGUAGUUGCCGUAGGUGUUGUCCACAGUCUUAUUUAUUUCUAAAACACCAAAUUCAGAGCAAUCAAACUUUAAUUUUUUUUUUGAAACCACAGCUCUUGAAAUAACCUACAGCUGUACAAGUAUUCUGCAGAACCAAAUAUCCAAAGCAAUUUUUUAGUGCUUUCCAUAAAAUUCUACAGCAAUAAAAUCUAAAAUCACAGCAAAAAGUUUACAGAUUUUUUUCUACAGCAAAAAUUUUAAAGCUACAGCCAUUACCAAUCGGACCCUAACUUACUUAUCCUUUGAUUAUUUGUUACCUAGUCAGUAAUUCAAGUUGGGUGUGUUUAACUAAAAACGUAUUGUACUAUUCAUUUGACAAAUGUAUUGCAAUCUCUUAAGAGAAAAUUGACAUUUAUAUUUUUCAUACAUAUUAAGAAAUUUAUAGAUUAUUUGCAAGCACCAGAUAAGUUUAAUUUCUUGUUUAAUACAGACAAAACAGAAAAUAUUGUUUGUACUGGGAAAAUAUAAAACGAUAGUUAUAUCCUAAACGACUCUUACUACAAAGCAAAAAAAAAUUAUUAUAAAUUUUAAGAUCAAAAGGUAUAUCAGUAUAUGGCUACCAUGCCAAAAUGUUGGUAUCUUUUUAGAUAACGACGGUAGUCACUGUCCAAACGAACUCUGUAUUGCUCAUGCACUGGUUGAGCAUGUACAUCAAGCAAAUUAAAGAAAACGAAAUCAUAUAAUGAGUCGAAACUUCAAUAGCAUGAAUGUAAUAAUAUUCCACAACUAUUAACUUUUCAUGAAAACAAAGACAGUCCGAUCGAGUAGAUUUUAUUCCAAGAGUAUCUUAAACACAGUGGAUAAAAAUUCAGAAGAACUAGAAAAAUUUACUAAUACAUAUCUCAUAUUGUCUAACGAAAAAUAUAUAUUUAAGAAGUCUCGUUUUCUAAACUUGUACAUGGUUCAAUUUCGGUAGACUGGUCCAAAUGCACAAAAAAAAAUUUUAUAAGAAUAUGGACGAAAACAAUGAUACAAUGAUAUCAUCAAACGUGCAUUAAAAUGUUUAGCAUGUUCAUAUAGAAAACGUUAUUAUUUACGAUGAGAUUGGUAGCGUUACUGUCACAAAAAUAGGCAUACAUUUUUGUUCUCAUUUCAAUGACAAAUCAGGCCAGAUAGAAAACUGCUCCAUUGUAUAUCGAUAUCUUUGUUAGUUUGGUAAUAAUGAACGUGAUUUUUUAUAUAGAAAAAAUAAACUAAAAUGCAAAAUGAUACUCUAUAUCAAUUUAUACUGCACUCAAGAAAAUGUUUUGUACAUCACAACAAAUGCCAAACCAAAUUACUCUACAAAUUUUGGAUCCACCUAUAGACUACGGAUUAUUACUCUCAUUUUUAUACAGAAUGGGAUUAGUGAUUAUUGCAGUUGCAUCGUUUGGAUUCACUUAUAUUUAUUUUAGCGAGAUUACAUACUAUAAUUAAAAUACUGAGGGAGAAAGGUUUCCCUAUUUUCCUUGUUGUUAAUAUGUUGGGGUAAAGAUUUCAAAAGGGGGUUUCCUGAUUUCCUAAAUGAGUAAUUGCAAUUCGGAAAACGAACUAUAUGCAUGACAAUUCGGUUUAGGUAAAAGACCAACUUAUUCUCUCAUUGCACUUGUAAACCCCUAAACUAGAGAGUUGUAGACAGUAGUAAUCCUCAACACCUACUUGGUUGGUGACACGUCAGAAAGAACGACAAUUUGGUGCAAUAGAAUGUACCGGAAUGGUACUUUUACAAGAUAUAAGAUUUUAGUGCUCAUAAGUUGCUGAGCUGGAUAGAUACCCACCCAUUUUAGGUUUUAGGGUUUGAUAAUUAUAUUUGCCACAAGAUUUAUGAGAUAUCAUAAGACUAGGUUAACUUCGCAUGCCGACAUCAAUGUGCGCACAACAUCAUUCGUUAGGUCUUGUUUCAUUAGACGAAUAAACAUAUGUGGAUAUUUUUUUGAAAGGGAGAGGGAUUAUAUUCCUCACAUGAUUUUUCGUGGUUUUUCAAGCGGCUUACUGCUUUAUAUUGGCCACCCUCAAAAACUGAUCAGACCCAAUUCAUACACAAUCAUUUAUUUGUUUGUCAAAAAAAAUUUCACGCAAUUACUCUUAAUAGAAAAGUAAAGUAUAUGAUUUACAUUAUGAUAUAUAUACUGACCAAUAUAUUAUUUUGAGAAGACGGAUAUAUAUUCUAUUAAACUUAGUCAUGUUCACAUCUGCAGAACUAAAAGGUCGCAGAGAGGAUUUAACCGCUCACACAAAACGCAGAAACUACGUAGGCAUAUUUAUAAGUAGAUGAAUCAUAAAAAUCAAUAGACGAAGGGUAAGAUUAAGCUUAAUUAGAUUAAAAAAAGGGGAACCUUCGGGGCAUGCAGUAAACAACUGUAAAGUAGAGAUAAUGCUCUCUGAUUCCUUUUGCCCACUAUCUACAUCCCAUUGAGUUCAAACUCUUUCGUUCUCCUCUCUCACUCACAGACGCAUUUUGCAAGUUGAUACACUUUUCUCCUCCCUAUAUAAAUCACUACCCUUCUCAAUCAACAAUUGCAUCUUACAUUAACAGAUUCUCAUAGUGUUUACUCGUUCCUUGCUUGCCUUCGGUUUCAUAGAGAAAGAGAGGGGGAGAGUUUAUAAUAGAUUAUUAUUAAUAUUUUCUUCACAGUAGCAUUUCACUACUUUGAGAGAGAUUAAAAAGAUAAAAUGGCGGUUUCAAUAGUCGUCUUGCGUACGGUCUUUGGCAUUCUAGGUAAAUCUUCUCACGUUUACGUAAACGUUCAUGUCUUCAUGAUGCAUGCAUGUACGUGAGUUAUCGUGAAUUCUAACAUAAGGAUAAUUAUUUUGUAGGGAAUAUCAUCUCCUUUCUCGUCUGUCUUGCCCCAAUGUAAAUGCUUUAUGACUCUCUUUACGUUCCUCUUAUAUAGAUAACGGUUUCCAUCAGACAUUAAAUAUACGUGUUGUUUAUGUAUUAGACCGACGUUCAUUCGUAUUUACAAGAGAAAAUCAUCUGAAGGGUAUCAGUCUAUCCCAUACGUGAUAGCGCUGUUCAGUGCGAUGCUAUGGAUAUACUACGCAAUGAUAAAGACGAAUGUAGUGAUUAUGAUCACUAUCAACGCCGUUUCCCUUGUCAUACAAAUCUUCUACAUCUCCUUCUACCUAUUCUACGCGCCUAAGAAGGAGAAGGUACUUGUUCAAUAUUAACAUAACUUCUUAUCUUGAAUGUACACACAAGAAUGACUACAUCUUUUGACCGUUGUGUUUCGAUAUGGCAGACUCUAACGGUGAAAUUCGUCUUAUUUGUGGAUGUUUUUGCGUUCGGCUUUAUUUUCUUCCUUACAUACUUUCUGCUUCAUGGACAAAAACGUGUUCAAAUACUUGGAUACAUUUGUAUGGUCUUCUCUCUAUGUGUUUUUGUCGCACCCCUUGGCAUCAUUGUAAGUCUCUCUUUCUUAUUUACUCAUUCAUUCAUUCAUUCAUUCAUUAAAACUGUUUUUAAUCGGUCAAGUUAAUCUUGAAAACACAGAGGAAAGUGAUUAAAACGAGAAGUGCAGAGUUCAUGCCGUUUGGUCUCUCCUUCUUCCUCACCUUAUCGGCUGUCAUGUGGUUCUUUUACGGUCUUCUCCUUAAAGACAUGAAUAUAGCGGUACGUCUAAGUAGUCUUCAUAUUUGCUUUUUUUAUUUUUUUCUAUGCUCGAGCUCUGAAAGCUAAUGUUUCUUUAAUUAUUUUUUUCAGCUUCCAAAUGUUUUGGGUUUCAUCUUUGGAGUGCUUCAAAUGAUACUUUACAUGAUAUACAAGAAACCUGGGACAAAGGUUUUGGAACCACCAGUGAUUAACCUCCAGGAAAUAUCUGACCAUGUUGUCGAUGUCGUGAGGCUUAGUUCGAUGGUUUGUUCCUCACAGAUGAGAACUUUGGUGCCACAGGACAGUGCGGACAUGGAAGACACCAUAACCAUUGACGAGAAGAUCAAAGGAGACAUUGAGAAAAUGAAGGAGAGCAAAGAAAUGCUUCUUAUAUCCAAGAAUUAAUAAAGCUCUUAACUAUCAAGUGUGGAGUUGUGUGUUUUAGUUGCUUGUCUGCUAAGUUAAUGUUUAAUUUGCAUGUGUGGCCUCUCUCUCUCUCUCAUCUUGAAUGUAAAAUAAGUUUCUAUUAAAUUAAAUAAAUGAAUAUGUCUUGUGUAUGGGUGUCCUUUGUAACAAAAAUAGAUCGACUUGUCUAUUAUCUUUCUUUCAGUUGUAAAAUCCAAAAUCAAACUAUAUUAAUUUUGUUCAUCUUGUCAUUUAUACUAAAAAGUUUACACUUAGCAACAAGUUAUAAUAAUAUCAUAUUUAGUAUAUAUAUAUAUAUGGUAUUUCUAAUAUUUAGUAAAUAUUUGCACAUUAGCAAAUAUUUAUCAAAGAAGUCUUGUUGUAGUGCAAGUUUGUUCAUUGAAGUUUGGGUUUCAGUUGAUCUGGUUAUAGGUUGUAUUAGUUUUGGUGUUCAUGUUUGUUUCUUGUUUCCUCCUUGUCUCCCAUUUGCUAUCGUCUCCAGGGAUUUCCAUGUUGUCCCCACGGCGUUUGUAACUACUUUCGGUGUUCAAAAUUGAAAAAAAAAGAAAGAAAAAGAAAGCGAGCAACUCCGGGAUUAUAUGCUCUCGGCUAGAGUCAGUCUGAUGCUUUUGGCAUGGCCUUCCGGUUUCAUUAGUUGCAAUUUAUAAUAUCUAUGAUUAAAUUCAAAAGCAAAUGUAAUUCAAUUUGUAAAUGUCAAUUUGAUGAUCCUACUUACAUUGACUGCAAUAACCAAUGUGUGAGUAUUUGUUGGAAAUUUAACUCUAUUACAAUACCCCUACUUCUCUACCAACUCCGGUGUGGUUGGGUCAGAGACAACACUGUGCCACAAAAAAAAAAACCUAACGAGUCAAUGGUAUCCUCCUCCAUGCAGUGACAUCCUUCCGAGCUAGUUCCAGACCUCUAACGUCUCCCACGCAACGCUUGGAUCGUGUUUGACGCCUCCUGCAACCACAAAAAAAAAUUAUUUUAAUUUCCUGAAUCUCAGGAGAAGAUUUAGUAGAGGAAGGUGAUAAGAAGAAAGAAGGAACCUCUAGCUUAUUUCUGAGAUCUUCUUCCUCCUUGUCGCGUCUGUCUCUAUCCUCUGAGAAUAUGUCGAUUAAACUCUCCUGCUCUUUCUUCACGUCUUCUAACUCAUCUUUUGUUCUUUGAACCUGACAAUACCAAAGAGGAAUCAUCCAUUGGUGACUGACUGAUUGUUGCUUAUAGGUUUGCAAGCAGAUACAGUAAACAUGUUAAGAGUAGAAUUUAUACCUCAGCUUCAAGUUUUUUGCGAAGCUCUUUCUCACGUCGCAGCUCUUCUUGCAAUAGCAAGUAAACAGCUUCCUUUUUAUUUAGCCUAGAAUUAAGGAAAACACAAAGCUUACGGUGUUGUUCAAACAAGUGAGAAACAUGAAUCAUAACAUGGUAACGUAAGGUAACAAAACCUCUCUUUUAACGUUUCAUUCUCUUGCUCUAGUUGACUGAGGGUACGUGAAUCAGCAGAACGUGGCUUGGCUGGUGGUUCGAAGCUCUGCGAGAACAAGUACACAAAGGUUCAUAAUCCUAUUCACCGGAUAAAAAUAGGGAAAAAAUCAAAGAAAGAGCAUUGGAGGACCUUCUCAGGAGGCUCAGUGACAUUUUCUUCACCCGGAGGAUCGUGAUCAGAGUCCUCAUCACUGUUGAUAUCUUCUACAGCUGGAGGAGCUACUCGAGCCUUUGCUCGUCCAUUAAAUUUGGAAGAGGUGUUUCCAUGUUUACCACUUUUCUCUGAUGAACCGACCCCAUUAGAAUCUCUAACAGAUCCUUUUCCUUUUCCUCCUCGAUUCACAACUGUCCUUGCAGCAGUUGGAGUUUUAAAGCUCAACGAUGCAGCAGCAGCUCUUUUCCUGGU
rnacentral:lncRNA from 1 species